rnacentral:misc_RNA from 1 species
GAUGAAGAACGCAGCGAAAUGCGAUAAGUAAUGUGAAUUGCAGAAUUCAGUGAAUCAUCGAAUCUUUGAACGCACAUUGCGCCCCUUGGUAUUCCGAGGGGCAUGCCUGUUCGAGCGUCAUUAUAACCCCUCAAGCUCAGCUUGGUGUUGGGGCCUGCUGCACUGGCAACCCUUAAAAUCAGUGGCGGCGCCAUCUGGCUCUAAGCGUAGUAAUUCUUCUCGCUAUGGAGUCCUGGUGGAUGCUUGCCAUCAACCCCCAAUUUUUCUAUGGUUGACCUCGGAUCAGGUAGGGAUACCCGCUGAACUUAAGCAUAUCAAUAAGCGGAGGA